rnacentral:lncRNA from 1 species
CUGAGAGUCAUAUACUGUACUGUACAGAACAGACUCACCUUCACAAAGGUCUCUCACUGAGAGUCAUAUACUGUACUGUACAGAACAGACUCACCUUCACAAAGGUUCUCACUGAGAUCAUAUACUGUACUGUACCGAACCGACUCACCUUCACAAAGGUUCUCACUGAGAGUCAUAUACUGUACUGUACAGAACAGACUCACCUUCACAAAGGUUCUCACUGAGAGUCAUAUACUGUACUGUACAGAACAGACUCAUUUACACAUGCAUUGGACCUUUUUUCAGGUGAACACAAAGUCAUAUACAGGCGAAAUGCACACACACACACAGACACCUAUACUACAGAUCUAUAAUAACUAGAACUGCACAUCACACUAUUACCACUCACAACACUACAGAUCUAUAAUAACUAGAACUGCACAUCACACUAUUACCACUCACAACACUGCAGAUCUAUAAUAACUAGAACAGCACAUCAAACUAUAACCACUCACAACACUACAGAUCUAUAAUAACUAGAACAGCACAUCACACUAUUACCACUCACAACCCUACAGAUCAAUAAUAACUAGAACAACACAUCACACUAUAACCACUCACAACACUACAGAUCUAUAAUAACUAGAACAGCACAUCACACUAUUACCACUCACAACACUACAGAUCUAUAAUAACUAGAACUGCACAUCACACUAUAGCCACUCACAACACUACAGAUCUAUAAUAACUAGAACUGCAUCCACAAACAACCACUCUUCUCUUUCUCUGAGACGGCCAGUGCGCAAAUGUCUGUGCCCCCCCUAGCCCAGUGCAUCCCCCGUCCCCACUUGGUCCUCCAAUGAGAGGGAUCCUUGGCUGGAGACCGAUAACAAAAAAUGUAAAUGAAGUCAUGUGAACCCUGCCCACGCCAUGUGCAUCGUAUAGAGGAGAAUACGGUGGUAUUUAUUAUGACAUGCUCUGUUCUCAUUCGUUUAGUAGCCUCCGUUUUGCGAUACCUCAGUUGAUGCUCUCCGUAAACCAUAUACCAUUAACCGUUUGGACUCUGUGGCAUCCAACAGUGAGAUUAGUCCUGUUCUGAACACCUAGAGGAGCUUCCAUUCAUUCCACAGGUGUGUGUGUGUGUGUGUGUGCGUGUGUGUGUGUGUAUGUGUGUGUGUGUGUGUGUGUGUGUGUGUGUGUGUGUGUGUUGCGCAGCGGUGGUGCGGGCGUGAGAGUGUGGCGGUGCGUGUGGCCGUAGUAGACUGUGCGUGUGCUUGUGUGGUAAAAUGUGCGUGUGUGUGUGUGUAUGUGUGUG